AUGUGCAUUCCGAAGAACAAAGGGGGACUUGGAUUUAGGGACCUACACAAUUUCAACCUUGCUAUGUUAGCAAAGUAGUGUUGGCAUCUUAUUUAGAACCCAGAUUCUUUGUGUGCACGUGUAUUGAGUUCGAAAUAUUAUCCGGGCGGGAAUAUUCUGAAGGCUGGGCCAAAGAAAGGUUCUUCAUUCACUUGGCAAAGCAUUGUGGCAGGAAUACAAACUUUCAAACAUGGAUGCAUUUGGCUUGAAGGCACAGGCAAAAAAAUUGAUAUUUGGCGGGAUCCUUCGAUCCCCUCUAGCGUGACACGUAAAGUGAUUACCCCUUGCGGGGUUGUCAUGUUGAGCAAGGUCGAGGACCUUAUUGAUCCACACAUAGGCCAAUGGGAUGAAAUACUGAUCAGGGAUAACUUUUCACCAGUGGACGUUCAACGGAUAUUGCAAAUACCCUUACAUGUACAAGGUAUGGAUGAUUUCGUGGCAUGAAACUAUACAAGGCUGGGGACUUUUUCAGUCAAGUCGGGUUACCAUAGGGCAUUUGAGCAUCAAUUUGGAGGCAGAUUAAUAUGA
rnacentral:rRNA from 1 species